GGAGGGAUGGCAGAGUGGUUGAAUGCACCGGUCUUGAAAACCGGCGUAGGUGAGAGCCUACCCAGGGUUCGAAUCCCUGUCCCUCCGCCA
rnacentral:tRNA from 3 species